rnacentral:lncRNA from 1 species
CCAAUUUUUCUCUGGACUUUCACGUAGACCUAAAUUUGGCCUUCUUUUUGUUUUAAAAUAAUUUUAUUAGGUGUCCAAUCACACCUAUAAAAAAGGAUCGGUGGCGACUCCCUUUGUUAAUAAAAUCGAAAGUUAGUUUUCAAAUGUUUAAUAAAUCGCCACAAUUAGCGACCAAGCAAAACUAAUUUUUUUUACGUCACUACAAGACUAAUUUGAAAUAAUUCUAGAAAUUUAAGGUGAAAUCUCAAAUGCUUAAAAACUGGGGACACGCGACCGUGUGCCCAGGCCUUGUGGAAUGCCCCAGAUCGUGUGACUUUCGAAGUUAGGACAUAUGGCUGUGUCUCAGCUCGUGUAACUCACUGCUUGGGUCACACGUCCGUGUCACAAGCCAUGUAUCAGACCAUAUGAAAACUACACUUAUACUGUUUGUAAGUAUCCAAAUCUGUCCGGGCCCAACAACCAAAAAUCAAUCCCAAAACAAAACAAAAAUAUUAAAAUCCAAAUCAAAAGUCCAUCAGUCCAAAUAUUACAAAACAACCCAAAACAAUUACAAUAGCCCAAUACCCAAAAACCCAAUUCUAAACCCAAGCAAACCCAUAACCCAAUACCCAAAUAAAACAAACUGGGCCUAUGUGGCCUAAGACCAGAUUAUCCACAGAAACCUUAGGGUUUCCACCUUGGCGCCACAGCCUUCAGCCUCCGUACGCUCCCAUGCACGACCUCCAUACACCCCAGCGCCGCUCGUGCCUCCACGUCCUCCCCCAUAUCUUCAUGAAGACAAAAAAAGCACAGCACAACAGCAAAAAAGAAAAACGAGACAAGAAAAUAUUGUAUUUUUUCUUUAUUUUUCUCAUUCAGCUAUAAAGCCAUCUUCUUUUUCAAUUGUAUAGGAGGACGUUUUUUAUUAAGAACAGACGCAUAUAUGAAAAAAGAAAUCAAUUCAAAAAGAGUUUACCAAAGGUGAUUCGUAGAUUAUUUCUCUGUUCUUAUUCUUUUUUUUUUACUUUAUUUUGAAUCUAUUUGACGAAUCUAAAAAAAGAGAGGGUUUACUCACUAUUUUUGGUGUCGAUUUAGUCGACGUUGGCUCCUCCAGUCCAAGGGUUGACAGAUCUUUGUGGAUCUAGCUGAAACCGUGGUGGUGGAGGUGCGUUAGUCGCCGAUGAAGCCCACGAUCGACUCAGAGAGAAAGGUUAAAAGAUUUUGGUGAGAAAGGUUUUAAGUUUUUUUCUUGUUUGUUUUUGAAGGAAUAGUCGGCUGAAUGAGUAUUUUAGGUUUUGUUUUUUCUUUAUAUAUGAUAAUAAAACGGCGCCGUUUACAACAAGAAGGGUCUGUGCGUCAACCCGAUUAACAGGCCGGAUCUGGGCCUUUUCAUUCGAAGUGGGGAAUUUGCACGUUAGAUCCUUCCUUUCGCGCGAGCAUUCAAUUGCGCCCUAUUUGUUUUUACUUUUUUUUAAUUUGGCUCUUUAAUUCGUGCUCGUAUUCAUUUGAGUCCGCGGUACUUCACUGCUUUUUGGGGCCUGGAUUAUUUCUAGUUUUAGUCCUUACACAUUUGCGCCCAUUGCAUAUUGUUUUUUUUUAUUUUAUUUUUAAAUUGACCUUCUUAUUUUAAUUCUAUUUUAAUUUAGUUCUCUAUUUGUACAACCUACCAUUUUAAUAUAGUUAAUAUUUUAGCUGAUCUGUUUUAAUUAUUUUAUUUUUUUAUUUGAAC